AGUGGCGGACGGGUGAGUAACGCGUGAGAAUCUGCCUUGGGGUCGGGGACAACCACUGGAAACGGUGGCUAAUACCGGAUAAGCCGAUGGUGAAAGAUUUAUUGCCCGAAGAGGAGCUCGCGUCUGAUUAGCUAGUUGGUGAGGUAAGAGCUCACCAAGGCAGCGAUCAGUAGCUGGUCUGAGAGGACGAUCAGCCACACUGGGACUGAGACACGGCCCAGACUCCUACGGGAGGCAGCAGUGGGGAAUUUUCCGCAAUGGGCGAAAGCCUGACGGAGCAAGACCGCGUGAGGGAGGAAGGCUCUUGGGUUGUAAACCUCUUUUCUCAGGGAAGAAGCUCUGACGGUACCUGAGGAAUCAGCCUCGGCUAACUCCGUGCCAGCAGCCGCGGUAAUACGGAGGAGGCAAGCGUUAUCCGGAAUUAUUGGGCGUAAAGCGUCCGCAGGUGGCGAUUCAAGUCUGCUGUCAAAGCACGGGGCUUAACUCCGUAAAGGCAGUGGAAACUGAAUAGCUAGAGUGCUGUAGGGGUAGAGGGAAUUCCCGGUGUAGCGGUGAAAUGCGUAGAGAUCGGGAAGAACAUCGGUGGCGAAAAGCGCUCUACUGGACGGCAACUGACACUCAGGGACGAAAAGCUAGGGGAGCGAAUGGGAUUAGAUACCCC
rnacentral:rRNA from 1 species